ACAAAAAUUUAAAAUAUAUUUUUGAAUUGAUGAAGCAAGGAGCAGGACAUUCAGGCUCUGCUCCACCGCCAUCAUGGUUAAGCACCCUCAACGAGGAAUUGAAAAUGGUUCUUGCGACUCUACCUAGUAAGAAUGUUUACCUUUCAUAUUGUUGUCUCCAUGUUUACAUCAGAGGGUGAAAUUUGUGUCAAAAUAUUUGUACCAUUCACACAAAUAUAUAUAUGAUACGUUUAUUUACACAUGUGACAUGUUUGUAGUUAUUUAGCUUUGGUAGUAGGACGUUAUGUUUGACCUCAUCAAAUACCCUAACAAAUAGUAAUAUGGUAUUGCUUGGCUCAUCGUCUCAUUAAGAAUAUGCCACUUGUUCUGGAUUGUUCGAUCUUUUAUGUUAGUCACAUAUCUUAAAAUUUUUGUCAUGAAGGCUUGAAACUCAAUUCUUAGUGGUUUUAAGUAGAGCUUUAUACACUGUGUAAAGGAGCUUAUUUUUCAUUCACUUACUUUGACAUUAAUGGUGAAAAUAAUUACGUAAUUCUAAUGACUAAUUUUUGUCAUGUUCUCCCAAUGCUUAAAACUUUUUGAUGAAUGUACUUGUGUUAGUUUGAAGUAACUAUAUGCUUUGGAACAACAUCUAUAUGUAUGUUUCAUCUUAUGUUUGUGCUACUUAACAGUUUUAUUUGAAAUAAUUUUUCUUUUGAAUAUAUGUCGAGUUAAUAGAUUAAUAAUUUUGCCAAUUGCUAAGAAUGAAUUGCCGUUCAUCAUGACUGCUAAUUGAAUGCCAAUUUUGUUAUAUCAUGCUUGAAUGUGAAUUAUGUCAGAAUUAACAAAUGAAGAGCACUGACAAUGCUACGAAAUGACCAAGAUCAUGCUCUGAAGGUCGCGGUUCCACCAAAUAUUAUUUUAAACACCGUUAACGCCAAGGACCAGGCCAUCUUCAUUUUGAUUUAAUUAACAUAUCAUUAUUUUGUUAUUUUGUGUAACUAACCAACCUUAUUUUGUUAUAUCAAAUGUAGAUUUACAGUAAAGUUAGUAGGUUAUUUGUUGUGAGGUGGAAAGACAUACUUGACCGUUUAUGGCAUUUCAUUGACAAGGAUGGAAAUUUCCAUACCGUUGUCUACAACCAAAAUUUGGACAAACCAGUCAUUGUAGCAGGGUGGACAACACUGAGAGAUUUUUAUCACCUGACCGGAGAUCAUCAAGUGUCGUUAACUCAUUAUGGUAAGAGUGUAUUCUUUCUCACCAUAUUCAAGAGCAAUAGCCUUCCAAAAUCAUUCACAAGAUGACACUCAUUAUACCAUCAAGUGCCAAAUUCUGUCACUUUCAAGGUGUAUCUCACUCCGCACAGAGUUACCUGCAGCAGCCUAAAAGUUCCAAGCAUCAUGUAUUAUUUUCUUAAAGACAAAGGCUAGACUCAUUUGUAUUUGGAGGAUGUUACAGAAUGCCGGCUUGUGUUCAAUCCCUGGAUAAAGACAGUUAAAAUUGGAGCUGGAUGAAAAUAUUUUUGUGAAACCCUGUCCUUCAAAGCUGACAUGAAAAUUGUCUUUGAAUUCCUUGAUCCAACCAUUAACCAUGUUUUAUUUUGACCAUGUUUAUGAAUUAAAUUCAACAUUAUUAGGACUUGGAACAUUAUUAUGACUUGGAACAUUAUUAUGACUUUGAACAUUAUUAGGACUUGGAACAUUAUUCCUUUUAAUUAUUAGGAAUUCCCUAGCUGUGCUUUUGCUACAAACAAUUUGUCUAAUAUUAUCCCCUUGUUAGUUACGAGUUUCUUAUAUAAUAGUUGUUUUACUA